rnacentral:rRNA from 1 species
UACAGAGGGGGCAAGCGUUGUUCGGAAUUACUGGGCGUAAAGGGCGCGUAGGCGGCCCGCUAAGUCGAACGUGAAAUCCCUGGGCUCAACCCAGGAACUGCGUCCGAUACUGGCAGGCUUGAAUCCGGGAGAGGGAUGCGGAAUUCCAGGUGUAGCGGUGAAAUGCGUAGAUAUCAGGAGGAACACCAGCGGCGAAGGCGGCGCUCUGGGCCGGAACUGACGCUGAGGAGCGAAAGCGUGGGGAGCAAACAGG